CCUGUUGAUUUCACUGAAUCACCAACUCCUGGGACUCUAGCAUGUCCUGCCAUUGUACCCUGUUUGCACACCUCUGUGGACGGAGAGCUCACCUCCUCCAGGCUGCCCAUUCUGUGGUUGGAUGCACCAGGGACUGCCAGAAACAGCUUCUUUCUGAAGUUUUGCUCCUGUUGCCCAGGCUGGAGUACAAUGGUGCGAUCUUGGCUCACCACAACUUCCGCCUCCUGGGUUCAAGUGAUUCUCCUACAAAUGUAUCGCAAAGAACUCCCGCACCGUUCCCUGAAGGAGACAAAGUUUCUCCAGAGGCCAGCUCAUUCCAGAGAACUGAAGCUCUUUGAAAUUCAGCUUCUAUGAAGACUCUGCAAGCCCCAAAGUGUUUAACCAAGACCUUUACCUGGGAAAGAGAAUCCGGACUCAGCCCUCUGCAGGCUGUUGAAGCUCAAGCCACCACCAUGCCAACUUCCACAAUGAUUCCACCAACACAAGUCAAGCACUGCCACCACCAUGAGAAACACAAUCCAGCAACUGUAACAAAACCCACAACAGCCAACACAUCCCCCACAGCUGCAAAUACAACCCUAACCCUACAACCACAGCAGUGAUCACAACUCCAGUGAUUAUCACAACAAACCCAAUAACCACACCAACUCCAACAACCACAGCUACAGCUCCCAAAAUAACCACAGACCACAGCAACCUGACGCAAUUUUAACAACAGCCACAAUCAUAACCACAACAGCUCCAAUAACCACUGCAACAACCACAGUAGCAGGCAUUUGUUGAUCACCUCUUAUAAGCCAGGUCCUCCACCAAGUGCUUGUCAUAUAUUAUCUCACAUAGCCUUCCAGCUGCCCCAGGAAGUAGACAGAUAUACAUGCAUGCUUUAUUUAUUUUUAUUUUUAUUUUUAAAAGAUAGACUUCUAUUUUUCAGA